AAUUUACUCCCUCCGUUCGGAAUUACUUGUCGCAGAAAUAAAUGUACCUAGAUGUGUUUUAGUUCUAGAUACAUCUAUUUCCGAGACAAGUAAUUCCGACAGGAGGGAGUAUAUA
rfam:Triticum aestivum genome assembly, contig: Triticum_aestivum_CS42_TGACv1_scaffold_002379_1AL